rnacentral:rRNA from 1 species
UACGAAGGGGGCUAGCGUUGCUCGGAAUCACUGGGCGUAAAGGGUGCGUAGGCGGGUCUUUACGUCAGGGGUGAAAUCCUGGAGCUCAACUCCAGAACUGCCUUUGAUACUGAAGAUCUUGAGUUCGGGAGAGGUGAGUGGAACUGCGAGUGUAGAGGUGAAAUUCGUAGAUAUUCGCAAGAACACCAGUGGCGAAGGCGGCUCACGGGCCCGAUACUGACGCUGAGGCACGAAAGCGUGGGGAGCAAACAGG